GAUGAACGCUGGCGGCGUGCCUAAUACAUGCAAGUCGAGCGAACGGACGAGAAGCUUGCUUCUCUGAUGUUAGCGGCGGACGGGUGAGUAACACGUGGAUAACCUACCUAUAAGACUGGGAUAACUUCGGGAAACCGGAGCUAAUACCGGAUGAUAUUUUGAACCGCAUGGUUCAAAAGUGAAAGACGGUCUUGCUGUCACUUAUAGAUGGAUCCGCGCUGCAUUAGCUAGUUGGUAAGGUAACGGCUUACCAAGGCAACGAUGCAUAGCCGACCUGAGAGGGUGAUCGGCCACACGGGAACUGAGACACGGUCCAGGCUCCUACGGGAGGCAGCAGUAGGGAAUCUUCCGCAAUGGGCGAAAGCCUGACGGAGCAACGCCGCGUGAGUGAUGAAGGUCUUCGGAUCGUAAAACUCUGUUAUUAGGGAAGAACAUAUGUGUAAGUAACUGUGCACAUCUUGACGGUACCUAAUCAGAAAGCCACGGCUAACUACGUG
rnacentral:rRNA from 1 species